rnacentral:rRNA from 1 species
CCUACGGGGGGCUGCAGUGGGGAAUAUUGGACAAUGGGCGAAAGCCUGAUCCAGCCAUGCCGCGUGUGUGAAGAAGGCCUUCGGGUUGUAAAGCACUUUCAGUGGGGAAGAAAGCCUUGGGGCUAAUACCCUCGAGGAAGGACAUCACCCACAGAAGAAGCACCGGCUAACUCCGUGCCAGCAGCCGCGGUAAUACGGAGGGUGCGAGCGUUAAUCGGAAUUACUGGGCGUAAAGCGCGCGUAGGCGGUCUGAUAAGCCGGUUGUGAAAGCCCCGGGACCAACCUGGGAACGGCAUCCGGAACUGUCAGGCUUGAGUGCAGGAGAGGAAGGUAGAAUUCCCGGUGUAGCGGUGAAAUGCGUAGAGAUCGGGAGGAAUACCAGUGGCGAAGGCGGCCUUCUGGACUGAAACUGACGCUGAGGUGCGAAAGCGUGGGUAGCAAACAGGAUUAGAUACCCCAGUAGUC